rnacentral:rRNA from 1 species
GUACACUCCUACGGGAGGCAGCAGUGGGGAAUUUUGGACAAUGGGCGAAAGCCUGAUCCAGCAAUGCCGCGUGAGUGAAGAAGGCCUUCGGGUUGUAAAGCUCUUUUGUCAGGGAAGAAACGGUGAAAGCUAAUAUCUUUUGCUAAUGACGGUACCUGAAGAAUAAGCACCGGCUAACUACGUGCCAGCAUCCGCGGUAAUACGUAGGGUGCAAGCGUUAAUCGGAAUUACUGGGCGUAAAGCGUGCGCAGGCGGUUUUGUAAGUCUGAUGUGAAAUCCCCGGGCUCAACCUGGGAAUUGCAUUGGAGACUGCAAGGCUAGAAUCUGGCAGAGGGGGGUAGAAUUCCACGUGUAGCAGUGAAAUGCGUAGAUAUGUGGAGGAACACCGAUGGCGAAGGCAGCCCCCUGGGUCAAGAUUGACGCUCAUGCACGAAAGCGUGGGGAGCAAACAGGAUUAGAAACCCUAGUAGUCCCA